AAAGGGAGACCUAAUUCAGGUAGGAGACGAAAAAAAAGUAGUCCCUACCAAGAAUCAAUCCCAAAAGGUCGGAGCGAGGCAAAAUUGGCUUUCAAACUAGGUUCUGGGUUCACACAAGACCUGAAUCAGGAACAAGGGCUAUUAGCUCAGGUGGUUAGAGCGCACCCCUGAUAAGGGUGAGGUCCCUGGUUCGAGUCCAGGAUGGCCCACCUGUACAGGUGGCAAAAAGAAAGAAAAGAAGCGAGGAAUCAGCACCUGAUCUUACUUAUAUAGUAAGAGAGAAUGCUGGCUCUGAGUUCAGAGUCCAGAGGAACCUUGAAAACUGCAUAGAGCUAGGUGAAAAAGCCAAAAAAGAAGACCGCAAG
rnacentral:tRNA from 1 species